rnacentral:rRNA from 1 species
UAGGGAAUCUUCCACAAUGGGCGAAAGCCUGAUGGAGCAACGCCGCGUGUGUGAUGAAGGGUUUCGGCUCGUAAAACACUGUUGUAAGAGAAGAAUGACAUUGAGAGUAACUGUUCAUGUGUGACGGUAUCUUACCAGAAAGGAACGGCUAAAUACGUGCCGG